UUGUCAUUUAUUUAAAUGAUGAAGGUAAUAGAAAGCCAUACUUAAACAAGAAAUUACUCUUAACACCCUUGGGCAUAGGCAUUUAGAUAAAAUUGUUCAUUACAUUUCUAAAGACUUAAAGAUGAUGGGUAAUUCUGUGGCUGUCCAAUUGGUUCACUUCUCUCUUGACAGUACCAGAUGCACCACAGGGAUCUUCUCGUUAGGUUCUUCAUCUUUGAUCAUAUGGAUUGAUAGCUCACCAAACAUCCAUAGAAUCUGAUUGACCUCCUCCAAUGCCUUGGUAUGAAUGCACCCCACGGAUCGAAAAGUUUCAUACAAGAAGGGAAUUAUCUUUUUCCUAAAUUCUUCCUCAUUUCACUUAAGCUGAACCAUCCUCUUAACCUUCUUUUGGGUUACUAAUUUCCUUCUCUCAUCUUUGGUAGGUUUCUACCCCAAACCAAACCUUUCUUCAUUCUUGAUUGGAGUCAAAGGACUGCUAAUUCCUUGUAAAUUCUUUCCUAACCCCAAACCGGUACAGCAUCCUUUACCCACUGUCUGCUUAACCCCCAUUUUAGUUGCUACUGACAAACGAGGAGUCGGUAUCACUUCUUUUUCCCCCAUAUAAGUAGCAUUAACAAAUUCAAAAGAUCUGAAAGAGCAUUCUAGGACUUUUUCUAUCACCUCUACAUAGGGAGCAGAUGAUGGUUGAAUAGCCAGUAUGUCUUCCUUCGCAGAUACACUUAUCAAUUGCCCCUCAACUAUGAACUUAAAUUUUU
rnacentral:lncRNA from 1 species